UACGUAGGGGGCAAGCGUUGUCCGGAUUUAUUGGGCGUAAAGAGCGUGUAGGCGGUUAUGCAGGUCCGCUGUGAAAACUGGAGGCUUAACCUCCAGACGUCGGUGGAAACCGUAUGACUAGAGUCCGGAAGAGGAGAGUGGAAUUCCUGGUGUAGCGGUGAAAUGCGCAGAUAUCAGGAAGAACACCCGUGGCGAAGGCGGCUCUCUGGGCCAUUACUGACGCUGAGGAGCGAAAGCGUGGGGAGCGAACAGG
rnacentral:rRNA from 1 species